AGGGGCAUGGCCAAGCGGUUAAGGCACCGGGUUUUGGUCUCGGCAUCCUAGGUUCGAAUCCUAGUGCCCCUG
rnacentral:tRNA from 1 species